rnacentral:rRNA from 1 species
AGNAGUAGGGAAUCUUCGGCAAUGGGGGCAACCCUGACCGAGCAACGCCGCGUGAGUGAAGAAGGUUUUCGGAUCGUAAAGCUCUGUUGUAAGUCAAGAACGGGUGUGAGAGUGGAAAGUUCACACUGUGACGGUAGCUUACCAGAAAGGGACGGCUAACUACGUGCCAGCAGCCGCGGUAAUACGUAGGUCCCGAGCGUUGUCCGGAUUUAUUGGGCGUAAAGCGAGCGCAGGCGGUUUGAUAAGUCUGAAGUUAAAGGCUGUGGCUCAACCAUAGUUCGCUUUGGAAACUGUCAAACUUGAGUGCAGAAGGGGAGAGUGGAAUUCCAUGUGUAGCGGUGAAAUGCGUAGAUAUAUGGAGGAACACCGGUGGCGAAAGCGGCUCUCUGGUCUGUAACUGACGCUGAGGCUCGAAAGCGUGGGGAGCGAACAGGAUUAGAUACCCUGGUAGUCCACGCCGUAAACGAUGAGUGCUAGGUGUUGGAUCCUUUCCGGGAUUCAGUGCCGCAGCUAACGCAUAAGCACUCCGCCUGGG